rnacentral:rRNA from 1 species
GUUAGGAAUAUUGGACAAUGGGCGCAAGCCUGAUCCAGCCAUGCCGCGUGAGUGAUGAAGGCCUUAGGGUUGUAAAGCUCUUUUGUCCGGGAAGAUAAUGACUGUACCGGAAGAAUAAGCCCCGGCUAACUCCGUGCCAGCAGCCGCGGUAAUACGAAGGGGGCUAGCGUUGCUCGGAAUCACUGGGCGUAAAGGGCGCGUAGGCGGACUCUUAAGUCGGGGGUGAAAGCCCGGGGCUCAACCCUGGAAUAGCCGUCGAUACUGAGAGGUUGGAGUUCGGAAGAGGUUGGUGGAAUUGCGGGUGUAGAGGUGAAAUUCGUAGAUAUUCGCAAGAACACAGGUGGCGAAGGCAGCCAACUGGUCGGAUACUGACGCUGAGGCGCGAAAGCGUGGGGAGCAAACAGGAUUAGAAACCCCAGUAGUCC